rnacentral:rRNA from 1 species
AGCCCAGAGCCUGAAUCAGUGUGUGUGUUAGUGGAAGCGUCUGGAAAGGCGCGCGAUACAGGGUGACAGCCCCGUACACAAAAAUGCACAUGCUGUGAGCUCGAUGAGUAGGGCGGGACACGUGGUAUCCUGUCUGAAUAUGGGGGGACCAUCCUCCAAGGCUAAAUACUCCUGACUGACCGAUAGUGAACCAGUACCGUGAGGGAAAGGCGAAAAGAACCCCGGCGAGGGGAGUGAAAAAGAACCUGAAACCGUGUACGUACAAGCAGUGGGAGCACGCUUAGGCGUGUGACUGCGUACCUUUUGUAUAAUGGGUCAGCGACUUAUAUUCUGUAGCAAGGUUAACCGAAUAGGGGAGCCGAAGGGAAACCGAGUCUUAACUGGGCGUUAAGUUGCAGGGUAUAGACCCGAAACCCGGUGAUCUAGCCAUGGGCAGGUUGAAGGUUGGGUAACACUAACUGGAGGACCGAACCGACUAAUGUUGAAAAAUUAGCGGAUGACUUGUGGCUGGGGGUGAAAGGCCAAUCAAACCGGGAGAUAGCUGGUUCUCCCCGAAAGCUAUUUAGGUAGCGCCUCGUGAAUUCAUCUCCGGGGGUAGAGCACUGUUUCGGCAAGGGGGUCAUCCCGACUUACCAACCCGAUGCAAACUGCGAAUACCGGAGAAUGUUAUCACGGGAGACACACGGCGGGUGCUAACGUCCGUCGUGAAGAGGGAAACAACCCAGACCGCCAGCUAAGGUCCCAAAGUCAUGGUUAAGUGGGAAACGAUGUGGGAAGGCCCAGACAGCCAGGAUGUUGGCUUAGAAGCAGCCAUCAUUUAAAGAAAGCGUAAUAGCUCACUGGUCGAGUCGGCCUGCGCGGAAGAUGUAACGGGGCUAAACCAUGCACCGAAGCUGCGGCAGCGACGCUGAUGCGUUGUUGGGUAGGGGAGCGUUCUGUAAGCCUGCGAAGGUGUGCUGUGAGGCAUGCUGGAGGUAUCAGAAGUGCGAAUGCUGACAUAAGUAACGAUAAAGCGGGUGAAAAGCCCGCUCGCCGGAAGACCAAGGGUUCCUGUCCAACGUUAAUCGGGGCAGGGUGAGUCGACCCCUAAGGCGAGGCCGAAAGGCGUAGUCGAUGGGAAACAGGUUAAUAUUCCUGUACUUGGUGUUACUGCGAAGGGGGGACGGAGAAGGCUAUGUUGGCCGGGCGACGGUUGUCCCGGUUUAAGCGUGUAGGCUGGUUUUCCAGGCAAAUCCGGAAAAUCAAGGCUGAGGCGUGAUGACGAGGCACUACGGUGCUGAAGCAACAAAUGCCCUGCUUCCAGGAAAAGCCUCUAAGCAUCAGGUAACAUCAAAUCGUACCCCAAACCGACACAGGUGGUCAGGUAGAGAAUACCAAGGCGCUUGAGAGAACUCGGGUGAAGGAACUAGGCAAAAUGGUGCCGUAACUUCGGGAGAAGGCACGCUGAUAUGUAGGUGAAGUCCCUCGCGGAUGGAGCUGAAAUCAGUCGAAGAUACCAGCUGGCUGCAACUGUUUAUUAAAAACACAGCACUGUGCAAACACGAAAGUGGACGUAUACGGUGUGACGCCUGCCCGGUGCCGGAAGGUUAAUUGAUGGGGUUAGCGCAAGCGAAGCUCUUGAUCGAAGCCCCGGUAAACGGCGGCCGUAACUAUAACGGUCCUAAGGUAGCGAAAUUCCUUGUCGGGUAAGUUCCGACCUGCACGAAUGGCGUAAUGAUGGCCAGGCUGUCUCCACCCGAGACUCAGUGAAAUUGAACUCGCUGUGAAGAUGCAGUGUACCCGCGGCAAGACGGAAAGACCCCGUGAACCUUUACUAUAGCUUGACACUGAACAUUGAGCCUUGAUGUGUAGGAUAGGUGGGAGGCUUUGAAGUGUGGACGCCAGUCUGCAUGGAGCCG